GCAGACUCACUCUGUUUAAGGCCGAAAUAUCCGGCCUUAAAUUUUUUCUGUCUGCUACAGUAACAUGCAGAUUGUUAUGAAGCGCCUUGCCAUUCACUUAGCAGGUGAUCGUAUCUUCUCAGACAUUUGU